UAGGGAAUCUUCCACAAUGGACGAAAGUCUGAUGGAGCAACGCCGCGUGAGUGAAGAAGGGUUUCGGCUCGUAAAAACUCUGUUGUUAAAGAAGAACAUAUCUGAGAGUAACUGUUCAGGUAUUGACGGUAUUUAACCAGAAAGUCACGGCUAACUACGUGUCAG
rnacentral:rRNA from 1 species